rnacentral:rRNA from 1 species
CCCUUAGAUGUUUUGGGCCGCACGCGCGCUACACUGAUGCAUUCAACGAGUCUAAAACCUGCUCUGAUAGGGGUGGGUAAUCUUUUGAAUGUGCAUCGUGAUUGGGAUAGAUGAUUGCAAUUUUUCAUCUUCAACGAGGAAUGCCUAGUAAACGCAAGUCAUCAGCUUGCAUUGAUUACGUCCCUGCCCUUUGUACACACCGCCCGUCGCUCCUACCGAUUGAAUGAUCCGAUGAAUAUCAUGGAUUGAGGAUGCAAGUAGGUUCGCCUAUCUUCAUCUUCGAGAAGUGAAGUAAAUCUUAUCAUUUAGAGGAAGGAGAAGUCGUAACA